CGAACGCUGGCGGCGUGCUUAACACAUGCAAGUCGAACGCGAAAGGGACUUCGGUCCUGAGUAAAGUGGCGCACGGGUGAGUAACGCGUAGAUAACCUGUCUUCAUGUCUGGAAUAAUACGCCGAAAGGGGUACUAAUACCGGAUAUUCUUGCUUUUCAUAAGUUAUGCAAGCAAAGGUGGCCUCUGCAUAUGCUACUGCAUGAAGAGGGGUCUGCGUACCAUUAGCUAGUAGGUGGGGUAAUGGCCUACCUAGGCGACGAUGGUUAGCGGGUCUGAGAGGAUGAUCCGCCACACUGGCACUGGAACACGGGCCAGACUCCUACGGGAGGCAGCAGUGAGGAAUAUUGCGCAAUGGGGAAACCCUGACGCAGCGACGCCGCGUGAGUGAGGAAAAGGCCUUCGGGUCGUAAAGCUCUGUCAAGAGGAAAGAAGUGUACAAUGGCUAAUACCUGUUGUAUUUGACGGUACCUCUAAAGGAAGCACCGGCUAACUCCGUGCCAGCAGCUGC
rnacentral:rRNA from 1 species